rnacentral:lncRNA from 1 species
GGGGGAGGAAGAAGAGGAGGGGAAAAGGAGGGGGUGGAACCCGGCUGGGACCUGGCAGGAGGUGGCCACGCGCUGAGCACGCUCCGACUGUGUGAGCUAGGGGGCCCGGCGCGGGUGCCAUCGCAGCGGGGCGCGUGGGAAGGCCAGUGUGCACGCGAAGGUCCCACUCCAGGCGAGCGCAGGGGAGGACCCGGAGCCCAGGGAGGUGUCCGCGGACAUCUCUGACAUGGCGGCAACCUUCUUACUGCUGGACCCUGGGUACCUGGCUGAAGACUUUGGACUUUAACCUGGAGAUGAUGGAGAGUAUGCAGGAUAAAGUCCAUACCAAAUCCAACGCCUAGCAAAUGGAGAACAAGCCAAAACUAACAAGAUAAAAUGUAGCAGGAAAAAGUGCAAAGAGCUGAAGUGUGGAAUAAGUGGGAGAGGUCUGCCAUGCCCUAUCUGACCUUGCUGCCAUGAUCUUUAAGGCUGUGUGUCCUGGUUGGUGCAGCUACAAGAUGGCAGAAAUGCCUAAGUGAUGGUAUGGAACAGAGGAUCCCUCUUCUCACCAUUGUCUUGCAUGUUUCCUUGUGUGAACCACAAAUAAACUUUUGUUAUGUUAAGCUG